GGACGACAUGCUCCACCAUCCAAGAACAUUCCAGAUGGAGUUCAGACAAAAGCACAAAGUUCGAAAAGUGAGAAGUGCAGAGAAAGUGCCUCCAAGAUGUACCAUGGAAAUUUAGACAUUUAUGGAUUGCCUUGGAAUGGAAAAGGUAGUAACAGCAACUCUGGGAGUUCCUGCCAAGUUCUACCCCGAGUGGAACAAGUUCCUGAUUGUUCCCUUCCCUGGAUUUUAACCAAGGUGAUAAAUAAAUACAGUGAGAGGGGAUAUCUGGGAGAGGUAGAGGCUUUGACUCCAGACCUUGAGCUUAUUGAAGUCAGAAACUUUGUCCCUGAGAAAUAAAAAUAGUUUUUGGUUUU